AACGAACGCUGGCGGCAGGCCUAACACAUGCGAAGUCGAGCGAACCCUUCGGGGUUAGCGGCGGACGGGUUAGUAACGCGUGGGAAUAUACCCUUUGGUACGGAAUAGCCUCGGGAAACUGAGAGUAAUACCGUAUGUGCCCCUUCGGGGGAAAGAUUUAUCGCCAAAGGAUUAGCCCGCGUUGGAUUAGAUAGUUGGUGGGGUAAUGGCCUACCAAGUCUACGAUCCAUAGCUGGUUUGAGAGGAUGAUCAGCAACACUGGGACUGAGACACGGCCCAGACUCCUACGGGAGGCAGCAGUGGGGAAUCUUAGACAAUGGGCGCAAGCCUGAUCUAGCCAUGCCGCGUGGACGAUGAAGGCCUUAGGGUUGUAAAGUCCUUUCAGAUGGGAAGAUAAUGACGGUAACCAUCAGAAGAAGCCCCGGCUAACUCCGUGCCAAGCAGCCGCGGU
rnacentral:rRNA from 1 species